UACGUAGGGAGCAAGCGUUAUCCGGAUUUACUGGGUGUAAAGGGAGCGUAGACGGCGAUGCAAGUCUGAAGUGAAAGGCGGGGGCCCAACCCCGGGACUGCUCUUGGAACUGCGUGGCUGGAGUGCAGGAGGGGCAGGCGGAAUUCCUGGUGUAGCGGUGAAAUGCGUAGAUAUUAGGAGGAACACCAGUGGCGAAGGCGGCUUACUGGACUGUAACUGACGUUGAGGCUCGAAAGCGUGGGGAGCAAACAGG
rnacentral:rRNA from 1 species